GGGGGGACUUCCGGUCACGAAGGCUGGGAUCCGCGGCCUGGAGCUGUGGGGCAGUAAAGUCCGCACCGCCAGGGCCACCGGGUACCUUGGGCUUGGUGACGGCGGUUGCUGCCCUUUAUUUCUCGGGUCACUACUGGACGUUACGCGGCAGCCAUUUCCUUCGUGUUGGCCUGAGGCCUCGGCCCCAGGGCAGCCAUGGGUUCCAGGUGGUGCUGAAAGCAGGAGCAGUGGGGCAUGGCUAUAGCCCUGCAAGUCCUGCGUCACUUCGCCCGGGCCCCCUCGCGCCCACUCCUCUGGGGGUGCCCAUUGACCCGGCUGGCCAGUGGCAUGGCCCUGGAAGAGCAGGCACGGCAAAUAUUUGAGAGCACCGUGGGUGCCAUGCUGCCAGGUCCCAUGCUGCAGCGGGCACUGUCCUUGGAUCCUGACAGUGGGCAGCUGAAAGUGCGGGACCGGAGCUUUCAGCUGCGGCAGAACCUCUACCUGGUGGGCUUUGGCAAGGCUGUGCUGGGCAUGGCAGCUGCAGCUGAGGAGCUACUAGGCCAGCAUCUCGUGCAGGGAGUGAUCAGCGUGCCCAGGGGGAUCCGUGCUGCCAUGGAGCAUGCUGGCAAACAAGAGAUGCUGCUGAAGCCCCACAGCCGUGUCCAGGUAUUCGAGGGUGCGGAGGACAACCUCCCGGACCGGGAUGCACUGCGGGCCGCGCUGGCCAUCCGACAGCUGGCCGAAGGCCUCACAGCUGAUGACCUGCUGCUUGUACUCAUCUCAGGUGGGGGAUCGGCCCUGCUGCCCGCCCCCAUCCCGCCUGUCACACUGGAGGAGAAGCAGAAACUAACCAAGCUGCUGGCAGCCCGUGGAGCCAACAUCCAGGAGCUGAACACCAUCCGGAAGGCCUUGUCCCAGCUCAAGGGUGGGGGGCUGGCUCAGGCUGCCUACCCUGCUCAGGUGGUGAGCCUGAUUCUGUCCGAUGUGGUGGGAGACCCUGUGGAGGUGAUUGCCAGCGGCCCCACUGUGGCCAGCGUCCACAGUGUGCAAGAUUGCCUGCACAUCCUCAAUCGUUAUGGCCUUCGUGCUGCUCUGCCACGUUCUGUGAAAACUGUGCUGGCUCGGGCUGACUCUGACCCCCAUGGACCACAUGCCUGUGGUCAUGUCCUCAAUGUGAUCAUUGGCUCCAAUGCACUGGCACUGGCUGAAGCUCAGAAGCAGGCUGAGGCACUGGGUUAUAAGGCUGUGGUGCUGAGCACAGCCAUACAGGGGUGGGGCACAUCUGCUGCACACGGGGCUGACGGGCACUGUCAUGGAUGCCCACCUCCUGUUCCUGCGGCCUCGGUGGCAUAG
rnacentral:lncRNA from 1 species